rnacentral:lncRNA from 1 species
UUCUCCACUCGCCUCCAGGAAUGGGUGUUGUAAAAGUCAAGUCAGCAUGUAUGAGAACACCAAUCUAUAAGAGUGUUCAACAAAGGAAGGCAUUGUUAUUUUACUAUCAUUAUUUUUACUACUUUAUGUUAUUUUGGAAAGAGCCAAGUCACCGAGGUGUCUUCUAUUAAAUCAAUUAGCCUGGAAGGAGAACUAAGCAAGAUGAGAAACUGAACGUAUCUGUGACUCUGCAAGCAGUCCCUGACGCUGUGGUGGGAUCCAGGCCUGGACGCUGUGGAUAAGGGCUGCUGUGGCCAAAAUAAUUAUUGAUAACAGAAUUUUUGAAUCAAGAGAACUACUCUAUCCAAUGAGCUAAGGCGAGAAAACCUGGCAGCAAGUACAAUGUCCUACUGUGAUUAUUUCAGGAAACCAGCAACAUGGGGACAGAUAAAAGUAAGAAGCAGGUUACCUUCGCUCUCUGGUUUUGGAACCACACCUGGACGACACGGACACUCAGCCCUGUCUCUGCAGCCAGAGUCUCUCUCACCUUGGAAAAAUUGAACGAGAAAUGUAGACACACUGGCAUCUCAGGGUAGGAGGUAGAACAUCUCCUAUAUAAUACUUGAGGAGGCCAAAAGACUGUAUCUGCUUUAGGAGCUGAAUAGUUUUUAAUGUUGAGCAUACACACAAACACGAGAACAUUGCUUCCCUUCAGGUAGAAAGAAAGUCCUUCACCAGGUAACUUUGGGUGUUUCAUGAAUAUCCAUAGUGACUGCUACCCCAAGUGAGCCCUGCCCAAAGAGAAUAAAAUGAGAGCCAUCUGGAACCCGGCAGAGCCAGGAAGUGUGGCCACAGGACUACAUUCUGGCCAACACAUAUGAGGAGAAAUGAUUUGAGCAACCCCUGGAUACAUCCUUAAAAAGCAGGGCGCUUGCCCUCCAUUUCCUCUUUCUCUACCUGGUGACUGGAAACAUGGUGACAACUGGAGCAGUCGCUUGGACACAGGAGAUGGAUAACAGAGCCACCCACCAGCCUUGCCUUGCUCACCUCUGGACUGUGACAGAAGAGAAUAAACUCCUGUCUCAUUAAA